AUUGAACGCUGGCGGCAUGCCUUACACAUGCAAGUCGAACGGCAGCACGGGAGCAAUCCUGGUGGCGAGUGGCGAACGGGUGAGUAAAGUAUCGGAACGUGCCCAGUCGUGGGGGAUAACGUAGCGAAAGUUACGCUAAUACCGCAUACGAUCUAUGGAUGAAAGCGGGGGAUCGCAAGACCUCGCGCGAUUGGAGCGGCCGAUAUCAGAUUAGGUAGUUGGUGGGGUAAAGGCCCACCAAGCCGACGAUCUGUAGCUGGUCUGAGAGGACGACCAGCCACACUGGGACUGAGACACGGCCCAGACUCCUACGGGGGGCAGCAGUGGGGAAUUUUGGACAAUGGGCGAAAGCCUGAUCCAGCCAUGCCGCGUGCAGGAUGAAGGCCUUCGGGUUGUAAACUGCUUUUGUACGGAACGAAAAGGUUUGGCCUAAUAAGCUGAGCUCAUGACGGUACCGUAAGAAUAAGCACCGGCUAACUACGUGCCAGCAGCCGCGGUAA
rnacentral:rRNA from 1 species